GACGAACCGUGCGAACGUUGUUCGGAAUCACUGGGCUUAAAGGGCGCGUAGGCGGCUUGCCAAGUCAGUGGUGAAAUCCUGCAGCUUAACUGCAGAAGUGCCUUUGAUACUGGCGAGCUAGAGGGAGGUAGGGGUAUGUGGAACUUCUGGUGGAGCGGUGAAAUGCGUUGAUAUCAGAAGGAACGCCGGUGGCGAAAGCGACGUACUGGACCUCUUCUGACGCUGAGGCGCGAAAGCUAGGGGAGCAAACGGG
rnacentral:rRNA from 1 species